UUUCUACUCUCUAAAAAAAAAAGUUCACACCUGCAUGCAAGAGCAACCUGGAGAGACUUUGACAGCUCAGGUCAGCAUAAUACCUGCAGCUGCCACUCGCCUUUCCUAUAUCU
rnacentral:snoRNA from 1 species